UUGGUGUGUUCAGAGCAGGUAUCUUACAGACCAUGGGUUCCUGUUUAUACCACACCAUAAAGUAACUUUGUCAAUGGGUUGUUAUAAAUGAGUAUAGCUUUUCUCAUUAUGUUUACCCAUGUGAUAAAACAU
ensembl:snoRNA